UCUCACACAACGAGAAGGGCUUCCAUGACGGCAACGUUUCGGGGGCCUUUUUCUUUUGCGCGCUUUCCUUCCUUAGUUCGUA
rnacentral:antisense_RNA from 1 species